rnacentral:rRNA from 1 species
UACGUAGGGUGCAAGCGUUAAUCGGAAUUACUGGGCGUAAAGCGUGCGCAGGCGGUUUUGUAAGUUUGUCGUUGAAAUCCCCGGGACUCCACCUGGGAAUUGGCGAUGAAGACUGCAAGGCUAGAAUCUGGCAGAGGGGGGUAGAAUUCCACGUGUAGCAGUGAAAUGCGUAGAGAUGUGGAGGAACACCGAUGGCGAAGGCAGCCCCCUGGGUCAAGAUUGACGCUCAUGCACGAAAGCGUGGGGAGCAAA